GAUGAACGCUGGCGGCGUGCCUAAUACAUGCAAGUCGAGCGAACGGACGAGAAGCUUGCGGCGCUGAUGUUAGCGGCGGACGGGUGAGUAACACGUGUAAAACCUACCUGUAAGACGGGGAAAACCUCGGAAAACGGGAGCUAAUACCGGAUAAUAUUUUGAACCGCGGGGGUCAAUAGAGAAAGACGGUCUUGCUGUCUGUAAUAGCGGGAUCCCCGCUGCAUUAGCUGGUUGGUGAGGUAACGGCUUACCAAGGCAACGAUGCGUAGACGACGUGAGAGGGUGAUCGGCCACACUGGAACUGAGCCACGGUCCAGGCUCCUACGGGAGGCAGCAGUAGGGAAUCUUCGGCAAUGGGCGAAAGCAUGACGGAGCAAGCCCGCGUGAGUGAUGAAGGUCCUCGGAUCGUAAAGCUCUGUUAUUGGGGAAGAACAGCUGUGUACGUAACUGUGGACAUAUUGACGGUACCUAAUCAGAAAGCCCCGGCUAACUACGUG
rnacentral:rRNA from 1 species